UUGAAAUUAGUUCAAAUCACUGUUGAAAAAUGAAUUUUGAUGAAAAAAUGGGACUCAAACAAGGGAUAUUUUAUUCGUACAAAUAUAUGUUUAUAUGUCGAGUCAAGGUGCCUUUUUGUUAUAAUUAAUGUUACGGGUUGAGAGUGUGUACGCAAUAUCUAGUGAAAGCUGAUAUUUUGUUCUCAACACUUGAUAAGUUUAAGGAUCUUUUUUUUUUUUUUUCCUUACUAGUUCAUAUUUUUUCCCCUAAUUUUCUUAUGUAAUAUCUAUAUUUAUUCUUUGCAGAAAGCAUAGAAAAUCAGUCAAAGAAAAAGCAUAAUCAUCGUAUUGGUUCACGUCCUUUCUCAUACGUAGUUGAGGAGAUAGCAGAGGAUGAAAUGCUUUUCAAAGGGUAUGAAUAUCUUGUAAAUAAGGCAAAAAGGUAGAGACUUCCUGAAGACACUUGUUUGGAGGAGAUACAUGUAGAUGAUCCUAAGGUUUAACUUAAUAUCGUGAUGUCCAUUUUAGAUAUGAAACCUGGACGUCAAAUUUAUAGGUCGGGAAAUGGUCAUCUUCAAGACAUUGAGACAUCUUCUUCCAAUGUACGCAGUAUGGAGAAUGAGUUAGAAGCAAAACAUGCUGCUUGAAAUUGUUGAGCAACAAUUUAAUUCUACAUUGCUGUCUUGACAUAAUUUUAUGCACCAGCUAUGUGAUAAAGUUUGUGGCUUUGUUUUACCUUCACUUGCACCAUUGUCAAUAGAGAAUAAUGUUAAUGAGGAGGAUGCUAUUGAGGACGAAGAGAAUAAUUUUGGCGAGGAUCAGUUGUAUAUCUAAUUUAUGAAGAUGAAUAGUAGUUUUUUUAGGUGCAUAAUAGUAGAUGCAGAGCAUGUUUUUUAUACUAUUUUAAGUUUAGAUGUAACUAUACCGAGUGAAUCAUUUUUAUAUGUAUUUUGGUGAAAUAUUUCGGAUCCAAUUUUACAUUGAUUGUCA